rnacentral:lncRNA from 1 species
AUGCAUAUUCAUACACAUCACAUUGUCUUUAUCCAUUCAUCCAUUAAUGGACACUUAGGUUGUUUCCAUGUCUUGGCCAUUGCGAAUAAUGCUACAGUGAACAUGGGGAUGCAUAUAUCUUUUCAUCUAACUGAAUUCUUGUAUCAUCAUUAUAGGGAAUGGAUUGAAGCCCAACCAAGGGGUCCACAAAGGAAAUUCUUCAAGGAAUUUGUUCUCAUCUAUUUUAAUCAAGGAAAUUCCUAUGCUAAAGGCCGGGAUCAUCCCUGUUCCAGGACGCCCUCACUGAGCUGCUGCUUUCUAUCUUCAAGGAGCACUGCCAAGACGUCCCUGCUUCCAGGAGCUUGGAGUGAAGAGAUCUGGCCUAUGACUGACACCAGCCUCUCCCGCCACCUGGCAGCCAAAACAACACCCUCAGUGAAGAAAUGUAUUAAUUUCUGGGCUUUCUGAAAGAAUGGAGACAGCCAUGCUGCAGCCACAGGAAUGAUGGCGUCCACUCACUGAGCAUCUGCACGGCCACACCUGCUUCUGAGUGACACUGUGUUUAUCCUCCCAACUCCACGCAGUAAGUGCUGUCAUCAUUCCUGUUUCCAGGUGAGGGCACUGAGGCACGGUGAGGGCCUGAUCCUCAAUAGCAGUAUUCUACUGCUUUGCCUUUAGGAUGGUUACCUAUGCCCUCGUUUUAAAGGAAGGGGAAUCGUAGUUUAGAGAGGCAAAGCCACCUGCCCAAGGACGCACAGUAGGAACAGAGCUGGAUUAGGAACCUGUUUGCCUGGUUCUAGCCUGGCCUGGUUCUGUUUCAGAGUCAGAAUGGUCUGCUUGAGCCCAUGAGGCCCCAGGGAGAUGGAGUGGGGUUGAUUUCGUCGGUUCUGGGCCGAUCCUCAAGAAGAGCCUGCAGGGAGAUGCUGAUCCUGGCAGCCGAAGAUGAAGAGGAGGAGAUGAGGGGCCAGCACCGAGCCUGGGCGUCCUGCCAGAGCUGCCAACACCAAGUUGCAUUUUGUCGUCUGCUCCCUUUGCCUGAUUUAAUACAACCUUAAAUAAUAAUGGGAUGGGGGAAGGGGAGCGAGGGAGAAACAUCCCAGCCAAGAUUCUGUGUAACAAUCUCAUCAAACCUGGCAUUUUCCCUUUGCUAUUUGAGAAGCAAUUUCUCCUCUGAUGUAAACAUUUUUUUUUAUGAUUCCAGGCUGAGCGGCACCAGGAGCUGCUGCUCGGUGCUUUCCUCCAGCUCCCUCUGGUCCUUGAAUGGAGGCAGAAUGGGGCCUGUAACCAUGGCAAUUCUCUAAUGUUCUUCCAUAAACCAUAAACAUAGGGGGAGUCUUCAUUACAGCUUCUUCAAGGAGAGAAUAAAGCUUUCCUGGACUGGGGCA